UCUAACAACCAAAGAAGUCCAGACAUGGGU
rnacentral:piRNA from 1 species